CACGUAGGGCGCAAGCGUUGUCCGGAAUUAUUGGGCGUAAAGAGCUCGUAGGCGGUCUGUUGCGUCCGCUGUGAAAACUCGGGGCUUAACCCCGAGCCUGCAGUGGAUACGGGCAGACUAGAGGUAGGUAGGGGAGAAUGGAAUUCCCGGUGUAGCGGUGAAAUGCGCAGAUAUCGGGAGGAACACCGGUGGCGAAGGCGGCUUCCUGGACCGACACUGACGCUGAGGCGCGAAAGCUAGGGGAGCAAACGGG
rnacentral:rRNA from 1 species